rnacentral:rRNA from 1 species
GAUGAACGCUAGCUACAGGCUUAACACAUGCAAGUCGCGGGGCAGCAUGGGGGUUGCUUGCAAUCCCCGAUGGCGACCGGCGCACGGGUGAGUAACGCGUAUCCAACCUGCCCUUCACCACGGGAUAACCCGGCGAAAGUCGGACUAAUACCGUAUGUUGUCCAUUGACGGCAUCCGAUUUGGACGAAAGGUUUGGCGGUGAAGGAUGGGGAUGCGUCCGAUUAGCUGGACGGCGGGGUGACGGCCCACCGUGGCGACGAUCGGUAGGGGUUCUGAGAGGAAGGUCCCCCACACUGGAACUGAGACACGGUCCAGACUCCUACGGGAGGCAGCAGUGAGGAAUAGUGGUCAAUGGGCGUAAGCCUGAACCAGCCAAGUAGCGUGCAGGAUGACGGCCCUAUGGGUUGUAAACUGCUUUUAUGCGGGGAUAAAGUGGCCCACGUGUGGGUUUUUGCAGGUACCGCAUGAAUAAGAACCGGCUAAUUCCGUG